UUGUAGUAUGAAAGGAGAGAAGGUUAGCACUCCCCUUCCAAUGUAGAAAAGGCUCUUGGGCCUAAGGGCAUGCAUAUUGUUAAGGCAUUGCCACCUACUUAGUGGUCUUUAACCAUCAUUUUUU